GCUGGGCUUGGUGACGCACGCCUGUAGUCCCAGCUACUUGGAGGCUGAGGCAGGAGAAUUGCUUGAACCCAGGAGGCGGAGGUUGCAGUGGGCCGAGAUUGUGCCACUGCACUCCAGCCUGGGCGACAGAGUGAGACUCCGUCUCAA
rfam:Pan troglodytes isolate Yerkes chimp pedigree #C0471 (Clint) chromosome 3, whole genome shotgun sequence.